rnacentral:rRNA from 1 species
CCUACGGGAGGCUGCAGUGGGGAAUAUUGGACAAUGGGGGCAACCCUGAUCCAGCCAUGCCGCGUGUAUGAAGAAGGCCCUCGGGUUGUAAAGCACUUUCAGUGAGGAAGAACGCCUGGUGGUUAAUACCCAUCAGGAAAGACAUCACUCACAGAAGAAGCACCGGCUAACUCCGUGCCAGCAGCCGCGGUAAUACGGAGGGUGCGAGCGUUAAUCGGAAUUACUGGGCGUAAAGCGCGCGUAGGUGGCUUGAUAAGCCGGUUGUGAAAGCCCCGGGCUCAACCUGGGAACGGCAUCCGGAACUGUCAAGCUAGAGUGCAGGAGAGGAAGGUAGAAUUCCCGGUGUAGCGGUGAAAUGCGUAGAGAUCGGGAGGAAUACCAGUGGCGAAGGCGGCCUUCUGGACUGACACUGACACUGAGGUGCGAAAGCGUGGGUAGCAAACAGGAUUAGAUACCCCGGUAGUC